GGCAAGUUCAAGCUCCUUAUAUGGAGACCCUCUGUCUCUGAAGCCCUUACACAUUUCCUUUCCUGACUGGGAUUGUGAAUUUCAUUUUCCUUGCAAUUCCCUUUUUCUUUUUAGUACUUUGGAUUGAACCUAGGAGCACUUUACAGUGAGCUAUGUCCCCAGUCCUUUUUUUAAAAAUUUGUUUAUUUAUUCUAAUUUGUUAUACAUGACAGCAGAAUGCAUUUCAAUUCAUAGUACACAUAUUGAGCACAUUUUUUCGUCUCUGGUGUACACAAAGAAGAGUCACACCAUUCGUAUCUUCAUACAUGUACUUAGGGUAAUAAUGUCCUUUACAUUCCACCAUCUUUCUUACCUCCAUCCCCCCUCCCUUCCCUUCCUUCCCCUUUGCCCCAUCUAAAGUUCCUCCACUCCUUCCAUGCUCUCCCCCCACCAUCCCCAUUAUGGAGCAGCAUCCACUAUCAGAGAAAACAUUUGGCAUUUGGAUUUUUGGGGUUGGCUUACUUCACUUAGCUUGAUAUUUUCCAGCUCCAUCCAUUUACCUGCAAAUGUCAUGAUUUUAUUCUUUUUUAAUGCUGAGUAAUAUUCCAUUGUGUAUAUAUACCACAUUUUUUAAAUCCAUUCAUCUAUUGAAGGGCAUCUAGGUUGCUUCCACAAUUUAGCUGUUGUGAAUUGUAUUGCUGUAAACAUUGAUGUAGCUGCAUCACUGUAGCAUGCUGUUUUUUAAGUCCUUUGGGUAUAAACCGAAGAGUGGGAUAGCUGGGUCAAGUGGUGGUUCCAUUUCAGGUUUUCCAAGGAAUCACCAUACUGCUUUCUAUAUUGGUUGUAACAAUUUGCAGUUCUACCAGUAAUGUAUGACAGUGCCUUUUCCCCCACAUCCUCUCCAACACUUACAGUUAUUUGUAUUCUUAAUAACUGCCAUUCUGACUGGAGUGAGAUGAAAUCGUAGUUUGGUUUUCUCUAAUUGCUAGAGAUGUUGAACAUUUUUUUCAUAUAUUUGUUGAUUGAUUGUAUAUUGUGUUCUGAGAAGUAUCUGUUCAGUUCCUUGGUCCAUUUAUUGGUUGGGUUAUUUGUCUUUUUGGUGUUAAGAUUUUUGAGUUCUUUAUAUAUCCUAGAGAUUAGUGCUUUGUCUGAUGUGCGUGUGGUAAAAAUUUGCUCCCAUUCUGUAGGCUCUCUGUUAACUUCACUGAUUAUGUCUUUUGCUGAGAAGCAGCUUUUCAUUUUGAAUUCAUCCCAUUUAUUGAUUCCUGAUUUUAUUUCUUGUGCUUACCUAUGCUAUAGGAAUCUUGUUAAGGGUGUUGGGGCCUAAUCUGACAUGAUGAAGAUUUGGGCUUACUUUUUCUCCUGUUAGGCACGGGGACUCUGGUUUUAUUCCUAGGUCCUUGAUUCACUUUGAGUUGAGUUUUAUGCAUGGUGAGAGAUAGGGGCUUAAUUUCAUUUUGCUGCAUAUGGAUUUCUAGUUUUCCCAGCACCAUUUGUUGAAGAGACUAUCUUUUC
rnacentral:lncRNA from 1 species